rnacentral:rRNA from 1 species
GAUGAACGCUAGCGGGAGGCUUAACACAUGCAAGUCGAGGGGCAGCACGAGGUAGCAAUACUUUGGUGGCGACCGGCGCACGGGUGAGUAACGCGUAUGCAACCUACCCUGUACUGGGGGAUAACCCGGAGAAAUUCGGACUAAUAUCCCAUAAUAUUAUGAGAGGGCAUCUGAUUAUAAUUAAAGUUCCGGCGGUACAGGCUGGGCAUGCGGAACAUUAGCUAGUUGGUAAGGUAACGGCUUACCAAGGCUUUGAUGUUUAGGGGUCCUGAGAGGGUGAUCCCCCACACUGGUACUGAGACACGGACCAGACUCCUACGGGAGGCUG